UUUAAAUGUAAAUUUUUAUUAAAGUAGUAAUAGUUAUGUUCUUGAAAUUUAAAAAAUUUGGCGGUGUUUUAGUCUUUUCAGAGGAACCUGUUCUAUAAUCGAUAGUCCACGAUAAAAUAUACUUAAUUUAAUAGUUUGUAUAUCGUUGUUAUUAAAUAUUUUAUAAGAAUUAAAAUGUUUAAGAAUUUUUAUUAAAAAAAAUUUCAGAUCAAGGUGCAGUUUAUAAUUAGGAAGAAAUGGGUUACAAUAAAAUUAUUUAUAUGGAUUUGUAUUUUUAAAAGUAUAAUGAAGGUGGAUUUGAAAGUAAUAAAAUUUAGAUUGAUUUUAUGAUUUUAGCUCUAAAGUGUGU
rnacentral:rRNA from 1 species